UCCGCGCUCAGAGACGGCGCGCGGCAGAGGAGAGCAGGACGAGAGCAGCACCGCUGUUUGCUGAGGAGGUGCCAAACUGGGCGAGAUGUUUACCAGGAGUUCCACCCCGAGGAGCCGGACUUAAACUUUGCAGACCUCUCCAGCUUGACAGCUUGUGUUUUUUCCUGCUUUGCUUAGGCGAUUCGGGCACAGCGAGAUACAUUUGCCCCUCGCCGCCUUCCUGUCAUCUUGCUCCCUUUCCUCCUCUCUACAAUGGUGGUCAAGGUGGUGCUACCUUUCCUCCUCUGCUGGGGGGUCAUAUCUGGCCAGCCCCAGGCCACCACACAGCAGGGAGACUCGGGAGCUUUGCAAUUUGGGUCUGUCCCCCCUGGGGUCUACGAGACGCUGGCGAGUUACGAGCCCGGGCCAAUGGGCGCCCUCUUCUACAUGGUCAACACGUUCUUGCACGUGGUCCAGCCUAACCCCUUCCCUGAAGAUAUCAUCGUCCAGCUCGUCCGGGGAGACCUCCAGUCCCAGUACAGCAAGCCAGAGAACGUUGUUCUGAUGCUCCAGGCCGCCCACUAUGAGAUGGGCUUCCUGGUGUGUGCAGCACUGGGUGUGCUCUUCAUGGUGCUCAUGCCACUGGUGGGCUUCUGCUUCUGCGUGUGCCGCUGCUGCGAGAACUGUGGCGGUGAGAUGCACCAGCGGCAGAAGAAGAAUGCCAAUUGCCGGAGAAGCGCGUUGGCUGGCGCACUCUUCGUCACCUCGCUCCUCAUCACGGCGGGUGUCGUGAUUGCGUACGCAGCCAAUCAGAACCUCAGCAACCAGCUGAAGGGUGUGAGGAGAUUGGUCAACAGCAACAUGAAGGACCUGCAGACAUUUGUUAACCAGACCCCAGUGCAAAUCGAUUACCUCAUUGGACAGUAUACCACAACCGAAAGGAAGGUGAUCUCAGACCUGGAGAACGUGGGCCCUUUGCUUGGCAGGGAAGUCCGUGAGAACCUGGCUAGCGAGUGUCUUCCCGCUCUUGCUGGAGUGUCAAGUAUGGCUUCAGACAUGUGGGAGACCCAGCGUGCUCUGCUGAACAUGAACCAAACCCUGGAGGUCCUGCAGAACAGCUCCAAGAGUCUGCAGGCCAACCUGAGCCUGGUGAACAGCAGCAUAAAUGACGCCCUGAGGGGCCCAUUCUGCAAGGACAACCCAGCAAACAAUGUCUGCACGUCCAUCAGAGACUCACUCAGCCAGCUCUGCAUCCACGCUAACUUCUCAAGGUUGGCCAGCGUGAAUCAGCAGCUAAGUAAGGUGAACGAUGUCUUGCAGACCAAUCUCAGCAGUAUAGUUCAAAAGGGUUAUGCAUCAUUCAAUGACAUACCUGACUUGGUAAAAAACCAGACGAAGAGUACAAUAACAGGUGUGCAGAACCACCUGGACGGCAUCAGCACCGACAUCACCAACUUCUCGAAUAAGCUCCACCUACAGGCCAUCCUGAAGAACUUCAGCAAUUAUGUCAGUCAUGUCCACUCGCUGGUCGAGGAUGUCUACCCGCAGAUCGACCGAGCGGACUUUUAUAGGUGGACGUGCUGCGUUACACUCUGCUGCCUGGUGCUUCUCAUCCUGACCUUCACCUUCCUGGGCCUGCUGUGUGGGGGCUGUGGCUACGACAGGCACGCCUCGCCCACCACCCGUGGUUGCGUGUCCAACACCGGCGGGAACCUGCUUAUGGCGGGGGCCGGCUUCACUUUCAUCUUCUCCUGGCUGCUGAUGGUGUUCGUGUCGCUCACCUUCGUGAUUGGCGGCAACAUGGAGAAGCUGGUUUGUGAGCCGUUUGAGUCCCAGCAGCUGUUUAAGGUUAUCGACACCCUAUAUCUGUCGAACCCCGAUGCAAGGAACUUCAUCCCUGCCCUGCUGAACCACAACGCAGAGGUCAACCUGACUGUAGAGAGCCUGUACAGCAAAUGCAAGGAAAACAGGGGCAUCUACUCAGCGCUGCAGCUGGACAAUGUCUUCAACCUCACAGGCCACCUCGACAUGAGCGCGCACAUGCAGGACAUCUCAAAGGAGUUUAACAGUGUCAAUGUGGAUCUGAAUAGCAUCAUACUGCUGGACCCCAGUGGGAAAGCGAACCUAUUGAGUUUUAACCAGACAGGAGUUGACAAGAUAAAUUACCCAGAAUACCUGGCUGAGGUUAACAAGAGCAUCACAGUUGUUGAUCUGCUGCUGUUCGCUGACAACCUGGAAAAACAGCUGACCCAGCUGCCAUCGGGGGCACUGAAGAGCAGCCUGACAGUGCAAGUGUCCAGGAUCCGGGACAUCUACUACAAGCAAGUAAUCCCCAUGCAGAACAGCACGACCACUUUGAGCCAGAGUGUCCAACGGCUGCAGAAUCUCACGUCCAACCUUCCAAGCAGAAUCGCAGGUACACUGACGGUCAUUGACGGCGCACAAAAGAUCACCCACAAUGCAACACACAUAAUCACCCAGGAAACUGGGAUUUACAGGGAUCGCUUGAUUGGCUACUUUCAGCAGUACAUCAACUGGGUCAAGACAUCGCUGGCCAUGGACGUCGCCUCCUGCAAGCCCUUCAGCAACGUCAUGGACUCUGUGGACCUCGUAGCCUGCAGCUUCGUAGUGGACUCACUGAACCUGUUCUGGUUUGGCCUGGGCUGGGCCACGGUGCUCCUCCUUCCCAGCCUGAUCCUCUCCGUGAGACUGGCCAAGUUCUACCGCCGGAUGGACACGGAAGACGUCUACGACGAUUCCUCCGUCUCUGGCACUUGGCAUUUUACGUUAUGAUAAUCAUUCCCUCCUCUUUCCUUAUCCCUCCUUCCCCUUCAUCUCCAUGCACUUUGCACUUUAAGGGAAGCGAUACAGUUCGCUUCACUGCAUUCCCACUCUGUCCGUCAGUUUGCUUUUCGUCACCAUUAGCCAAUGCUGAGCGCUUCUUCGUAGCGUCGAAACACUUCAGAAGACCCCACCCCCCCCAUCUUCCUCGUACUUAACUCUCUGAUUCCCGCUUAAUAAACCUCGUGUUCUGUUAAGUCACAGGGUACUUGCUGUUGAACACGUUUGGUGCUGCAUUUUCGCUGAAGUGUAAAUGAGCUGUUUAUGUACAGUUAAGUGCACAACCUUUACUUUGUGCAGUAUAUUUUAUAUAGCUACUGUAACUGCCCCUAAUACGGAGGGGCCCCUACAAAGAAAGUCCAAUUCAAACAUAUUUGUGUUAUAUAAGGUUAUAUAAAGAAUUUGUGUAUUACAUAAUAGACAAUUGGGCUUUUUCAUACAUUGUGAAUAUAUUCAUACAAUUGAUUGUUCUCACAAGUCUUGUUUACGUUGCAUUAUAUGAUGUGAUUAUAUAUCAUAUGACAUCCCAUCUUCCAUUUUAUUACAUAUUAAAUCUCUUUUAAUGUUUUCCUUUCUGAUAAAGUAUGGAAAUUGGCAUUAAUGGUUAUCAUAACGAGCUUUCACUCAGUGUCCAGAGCACCGUACCGAUGAGCGAGAUGGUUCCUGAGGUAGGACAUGGGCGUGCAUGCAGUUAAUGCGUCCGGCCUCUUGCAUGCUGGGAAGGAGAUGUGUGCACGUGGAAUGUCGCACACUUGCAUGCCACCCAGGAGAAUGUUUUGCAUGCAAUUGCAGGGUCUCCUCAAAGGGGGCAGCGGAAAUGGUGGAAGCGGAAAUGGACAGGCUGCUCUGCCUGGGUCUCACAUCUGUGCUUGUGGCCAUCUGAGCUAAACACCGACAUGUGAUAAGAGGAGCAUCCCUGCAAAUUAACAGAGGGGCGAUUCUAGGAUUUUUUUUUAAGGUGGAGGGGCAUACGAGGGACAUAAUUCCUGCGGAGGGGCCAAUCUUAUCAUUAGCCAAUGAUAGGUCUUAAAUUGGUUAGUGGCAGCGGAGGAGGCACUACGGGGGCCAAUCAGCUUUCAGCUGACACUGGUGGCCCUGUAGCCCCGCCCCCAGCAUCCACCCCUGACUGAAGCAUUCAUCUGUGUGUCUUAUUUCAAUCAUCCUCUUUAAGACACGCAGCGCUGCAUGGCUGAAUCUCACCCUUGUUGGGUAACGGUUUGCACUGCAUGACGAAACGCUGCACUGGAGGCAGAUAACCUGACCUACACUUCUUUAUGCACCCACUAGCCCCUACACCCGUACCCCUGUGACCCAAUCCCACCUGGCUUCAGUUCCUCCAUGCAAGACAGGCUGGUGAGAGUGAGGUGAGUGGGGCUGGACCCAGCAAGGUACUGGCACCAGUGAGCCGAGACCCCUUGCAUUCCUCCUGCAUGCCUCUGGCUCCCUGCAGUUGCACAGUCUCGCUUUUCCCCUCCAGUCGUCUGCUCCAUCUGUACAUGCUGCCGUUUUCCCACAACCUCAUAUCGUCCCCUAUUUGCUUCCUGUCACUAAUGAUUUGCAGCCCGGGAAAACUAAAAGUCUAAAUAGGUAUUUCCGCAGAUGACCAGCGUUUAUACCAGGUGGGUAUAGGGACUCGGCCCUUUCAUCUCAAGCCAGCAAGGUUGCUGUAGGUUUAGAGGUCAUUGGGUUUUCGGACUGUAGCUGAAACACAGACUCACGCUAUUUCACAGGUCAUUCAGGAACCAUCAGGAAGCCACUGUGUCUGACUCAUGUAGCGUUUGUAGGUCAGCCAGGAAACACUGCAAGUCAGUGUAACACCGCAGUGCUUGUGAACCUGUUAAAUAAGCAUGAUCUGUUCUCUCUCUCUCUCUCUUCGGUUAUUCGCCUUCCAAGUGCAAUAGAAACCUGGAACUGAAGCCGAUUGGACGCUCAAGUUCCCAGAAAAGAAGGAUGUUGUCUUCACAAAGUCACAUGACCACCUAAGACCACAUCAACGGACGUGACCCCCCCCCCACCUGUCCUCCUUCCACCCAGCUGGCCCUGUUUGACCGUCCAUCGUCCGCUUGGUCCUAAGGAGAGCUUACCGCCUGCUUUAGGUCACCAAAUAUUACCAAACCAAUGUCUGAGAUAAAACUCCAGGACUUCCCCAUGGUCACCCAUCAUUCACUUUUACAAAUCAAUUACGUCUAACUUUCAGAUAUAAAUGUGUAAAUGUUGCACACUUGCAGAAGUUUACAAUUUUCUAUAUUGCUGUGAAUGUUUGUUUUUUAAAACCUUGUCGAUAUCUCCCUAACCCCUUCUUUGUGUAAAUGCUUUUAUCUCCAUACACUAUGCAGGCAGCUGUUCACUGGCUAUUUAAACGUGUAUCUGUAAGGGGUUAAUCAAACGGCGUCUUUUCCCGUGACGGGAAAUGAACACACAUCAUAUGACACGACGGACACCACAGAACGAGCUGAACUCCAGGCCACUGGCGUCGGCGGCUGUUUGGUGACGAUGUUUGUUAGGUAAUUCACGGGAACGAUGACGAUCCCCAAGACACCGAGGAGGAAAAAAUGACCUGGUUGCAUGGCAGAUAUGGUUUGAGUAAAAUACAGGAAACAUUCAGCUGUUUCGAAAACUGCGCCGUUGACCCCCCUCCCACUCUGCCACAGAUAAGGCAGUGUCACAGUAACUACGUUGUUAAUCGAAACCUCUUGUUACUCAGGUCUCUUUCUGGUGCUGCUCACAAUAAUCCCCUGUUUUGUUCACUACUUUGAUGUUUUUUGGCAUGAUGACCAUAACGUUCCUCUGGGGAUACACAGCAUUUCAAAGUUAUUAUGCCUGAUUACCAUGAUAUUUGUAUAGAUCUUUUUGUUUUAUUGUUUGCUUCUAGCCUCUUCCUCUCUUUGGUUGAAAUGGUUUAACUGUAAGACUGACAUUAGCACUUAUAGCCCUCGAGCGCCAGGACGUUUGUUGCACUAGCUUCCCGAACCAUGGGCCUUUGGUUCGACCCCCCCCCCCCC